GCCUCCGUAGCAUAGUGGCUAAUGCGUCGGUUUUGUAAACCGAAGAUCAUGGGUUCAACUCCCAUCGGAGGCU
rnacentral:tRNA from 1 species